rnacentral:lncRNA from 1 species
UGAGAAAUACUGUAGAUUUGGGUUUGUAAUUUAGAAAUUAGGAUAACAAGAAUAUUUGUGGACAGAUGAGUAUUCUUUCAGAUUUUUUCAUCAAUAUAUUGUAUUUUUAAAUAAUUUUCUUAAAAGCUGCUAUUUUUGGAAAGUUUUCAUUUUUUUGAGAAAUACUGUAGAUUUGGGUUUGUGAUUUAGAAAUUAGGAUAACAAGAAUAUUUGUGGAUAUAUGAGUAUUAUUUCAGAAUUUUUUUCAUUUUUUGAGAAAUAUUGUUGAUUUGGGUUUGUGAUUUAGAAAUUAGGAUAACAAGAAUAUUUGUGGAUAGAUGAGUAUUCUUUGAGAAUUUUUCAUGAAGAAGUUGUAUUUUUAAAUAAUUUUCUUAAAAGCUGCUAUUUUUGGAAAGUUUUCAUUUUCUUGAGAAAUAUUGUAGAUUUGGGUUUGUGAUUUAGAAAUUUGGAAAACAAAAAUAUUUGUGGAUAGAUGAGUAUUCUUUCAGAAUUUUUCAUCAAUAUAUUGUAUUUUUAAAUAAUUUUCUUAAAAGCUGCUAUUUUUGGAAAAUUUUCAUUUUUUUGAGAAAUAUUGUAGAUUUGGGUUUGUGAUUUAGAAAUUAGGAUAACAAGAAUAUUUGUGGAUAGAUGAGUAUUUUUUGAGAGUUUUUAUCAAUAUAUUGUAUUUUUAAAUAAUUUUCUUAAAAGCUGCUAUAUUUGAAAAUUUUAUAGAUUUGCGUUUGUGAUUUAGAAGUUUGGAAAACCAAAAAUAUUUGUGGAUAGAUGAGUAUUCUUUCAAAAAAUUUUAUCAAUAUAUUGUAUAUUUAAUAAAUUUUUUAAAAGCUGCUAUUUUUGGAAAGUUUAACUUUUUUUGAGAAAUAUUUUAGAUUUGGAUUUGUGAUUUAGAAAUUAGGAUAACAAGAAUAUUUGUGGAUAGAUGAGUAUUCUCUGAGAGCUUUUCAUCAAUAG